rnacentral:lncRNA from 1 species
GGUGCAGACUCAGAUGCGCAACAAAGAGGGAGAUAGAAAACGUGCUUACUUAACCUUGGAGGAGCUACGCCCUUUGCCUCCACAUACCAACACCUACAAGUCUAUAGGCAUCCUCUCUCUCUCUCUCUCUCUCUCUCUCUCUCUCUCUCUGUCUGAGUAGCUUCUUCUUCUUUUGUCUAACUUGUAGUUCUGGUCUUUGUUUUUCAGGAAGAACGUGAGUGGUUUAACCUAAUAAUCCUUUCAACUUUUCCAAGGAUGAUAUAUAGUUUUUGCUUCAUUAACAGGUUUCUUCUAGAGCCCAAGACUGUACUAGAGGGUGAGCAAGAGCAGAAACUCAAGGAUAGUGAGGCUACAAUUGCUUCUCUUCAGGUACACAUCCGUUUAAUGAUUUGAUUAGUUAUAUUAGG